rnacentral:rRNA from 1 species
GGCCCAGAUCGUUUACCGUGAAAAAAUUAGAGUGUUCAAAGCAGGCAGAUCCAAUUUUCUGCCACCGAAUACAUUAGCAUGGGAUAAUGGAAUAGGACCCUGUCCUCCUAUUUUCAUUGGGUUUGGCAGCGCGAGGACUAGGGUAAUGAUUAAUAGGGAUAGUUGGGGGCAUUAAUAUUUAAUUGUCAGAGGUGAAAUUCUUGGAUUUAUGAAAGAUUAACUUCUGCGAAAGCAUCUGCCAAGGAUGUUUUCAUUAAUCAAGAACGAAAGUUAGGGGAUCGAAGACGAUCAGAUACCGUCGUAGUCUUAACCAUAAACGAUGCCGACCAGCGAUUAGGAGACGUUGAAUACAAAACACCACCAUCGGUGCGGUCGUCCUUGGCGUCUCGGUCCUUCACGGGGCCGGGGCGCGGGGGUGGCUUAGCCCGGUGGCACCGGUGAAUGACUCCCCUAGCAGCUUGUGAGA